CCCACCGAUUGGAGAGAUUCUCACGCUUCAAAAUUUGAAUCCCGUCCCAGUUCCGGUCCACAACCCCGAUAGAACGCGAGGUACAUCCCGAGCGCCCAGAGAGAAAUCCCUGCUGUCCAUCGAUGGACCGGCCGCCACCGGCAAUGUACCUCUCGCCGGAAUCAUACACCCAACUCCUUCUAAGCUUCUCCUCCAUCCCUGAUCUAGAUCCAAAUCGCGGUUGGACGCAACAAGAAGAACAAGAGGAGGGGGUGUUGCUGAUUUGGCCGGUAGCGGCGGCGAUUGGGCAAGCUGGAGUGAGACUGAACAUGAAUGCCAGUCCGACUCCUCCACACCAGAUCCAUCCGCACAGAGUGCCGAGGCCCACCGCCAAGUGAAUCGUGAGAACCAAGAUCUCCGGCGAGACUCGCCGCCGCGAGAUUUCGGCGGAGACACUUGGUCAGGAGAUGAUUCGUUGCAAUCUCCAAUCUCAGACAUUCAGGCAGAUAUUUCUUACCAGCAGGAAUAGGAAACCAACACUACAAACGUGCUGCAAUCAGAACGGUCUCCAAGUGACCAAUGUACAUGGAAAGGAAGGAUACGUCGUGGGGAAAUACCAUAUCAGCAUCAGUCUAAAGAGGGAAGGGUUUGUGCGCUUGAAAAAGCAAUGCGUAGCUUUGUUGAACGGAAGUCUGGACAAGUGGUCGCCCCUGAGAUUGGAAGAGUAUUCGACUCAAUCGCAGAGGCAUUUGAGUUCUACAACCUCUAUUCUUGGGAGAUUGGGUUUGGCAUCCGAUAUGGUCAAUAUAGGACAAAUGCACAGAAAAGCAGAACCGUUCAAGACAUCGUUUGUGGUUGUGCGGCCAAAGAAAGAAAACACGAAGUCAGUAGCAUGCAACUGCCAAGCAUUGAUCAGACUACACCGUACAACGGAUAAUGGAUGGUAUAUACACGAUUUCAGACCUGAACACAACCACCAUUUGUCAUCAUUGUGUGGCAAGAAACUACAUUGGCCAUCACACAGGCACAUUGACACACACACCAAAGAUAUAGUGAAGCACUUGAGGAGCAACAACAUUGGGAUAACCAAGGUUUUUUGUGUCAUCGCAAGCUUCUUUGGAUCAAUGGAGAGUGUACCAUUCAACAAAAUAUCUCUCAAGUAUAUGUGCAAGAGGAUGAACUAAGAGACUGCAGAUGAUGACAUCAGGAAAACAGUUGAGCUCUUCUCUGAACUUAAGAAGAAUGACCCAAUGUUUGCUGACAGUGUCCUUGUUGACAGCCAUAGCAAAAUUCAGGCCCUUAUGUGGACCAAUGGAAGGAGUAGAUACCAAUACAAAAUUUUUGGAGAUUCUAUCACAUUCGACACCACAUAUCGUACAAACCAGUACGAUAUGCCAUUCGGCCUAUUUGUUGGUGUCAACCAUCAUUUGCAGAGCAUAAUAUUAGGAGGUGUUAUGAUGAGAAACGAGAAGCAAGAAUCAUUCGAGUGGGUAUUCAAGGAAUUUGUUUCAUUGAUGGGAGGUAAAGCACUUGUAACUAUCCUAACAGACCAAUGCCGUGCAAUGGAGUUGGCUAUUGCUAAAGUGUUGCCAAGAACGAAACACCGGUGGUGCAAAUGGACCUCAUUUAUGCGCAUCUCGCACUUGAAAUAUCCAUGACAGCGAACUCUCCAAUACCUGAAAGAUGCUUAGAACUUAUCUUCAACGCGUGCUGCACUUAAUAUACAGGGGACGAAGAACUUGUGUCAUUUGCAUAUCUCUUUUGAAGUACUUUGUCAACACACGUAUCACACUUUAAAGAUCGAUGCAGUCAUGCAGAAGAACUAAAAGACAAUGUUCUUAAAUGUGUACGGACUUUGCUA